rnacentral:rRNA from 1 species
AUUGAACGCUGGCGGCAGGCCUAACACAUGCAAGUAGAACGAGUGGCGGACGGGUGAGUAAUGUCUGGGAAACUGCCCGAUGGAGGGGGAUAACUACUGGAAACGGUAGCUAAUACCGCAUACCAUCGGAUGUGCCCAGAUGGGAUUAGCUAGUAGUUGGGGUAACGGCUCACCUAGGCGACGAUACCAAGCGGGUCUGAGAGGAUGACCAGCAACACUGGACCUGAGACACGGUCCAGACUCCUACGUGAGGCAGCAGUGGGGAAGAUUGCACAAUGGGCGCAAGCCUUAUGCAGCCAUGCCGCGUGUAUGAAGAAGGCCGUCGGGUUGUAAAGUACUUUCAGCUAGGAGGCGUUACUCGCAGAAGAAGCACCGGCUAACUCCGUGCCAGCAGCCGCGGUAAUUC